rnacentral:tRNA from 1 species
GCCCCGGUAGCUUAGGGGUAGAGCUCCGCCGUGGUAAGGCGGGGGACCCGGGUUCGAGUCCCGGCCGGGGCU